UCUUUCUUUUUUCUUUUUUUUUUUGCUAUUUUGAGCAUAUAGAAAUAAUUUGAAAUGAUUGAACAAAAUAUUUUUAUACAUGGUGGUUUUCUCAUUUCCUGCUAAUUUCAUCGAUUUCAUACCAUAUUUUCAAUAGUUCUUUUCUAUCUAGACUCUUCAUCCGUAUUCACACACAUACACACACACCAGUAAUCUAUGGUCCAUAGAAUCUACAGAUUAAGGACUAUACCUAUUUUGCUGUCUUCAGCCCCUGGCAAGGUGGGUGCCCUGUGUUAGAUGCUCCAUAGCUCAAUAACAUAUACUUUAUAGUUCAAAGGCAUUAAGUAUCCUUUUAACUAGCUGAGUCUUUUACAUUUUAGAGUUGAAAAUGUCUCAUAGACUGCUAUUUCAGAGAGAUUUUAUAUACAUUGUAUGUUUCUAAUAAAUGCUCAUCUUUUAGGCUAAGUUCUAUAGGAUGCUGACUCUGAUAUGAAGAGUAGCAUACAGGAGGCUUAUUGGGGUACUUUUUGGGGUUGUUACAGAAAUACUGUGUCUGCCAUUGCCAAAUACAAAGGCGGAGACGAAGUUGAGGCUGAAAGAAAAAAAGAUAGCUUUAUCGCUUUGCAAGGCAAAGGGGGCCACAGCAGGCUAAUGCCUUAAAGACUUUGCCCCCCUUGGGAGAGGUUGGGAGGUGGUUUUAUAGUUUGGGAGUGAAAAAAAGGGACCUUGAUCAGGUUGGGGGUAGAUGGGAGCUUACAUUGUUUUUCAAAAAGCUGGUGUUUAGAUGACCCCAGGGUUGGUUCUAAUGAUCCUUCUUUUGGAGUGAAGAAUGCUUCAUCAACAUCUUCCAUUUGUUGGGGGUUUUGGUGCUGUGGAAGAACUCAAAGACUUUGUUAUUCCUUGAAAAGAAACCAGGACCCUGCCCCAAGGCUGCACUAUGGUCUCUGGGCUGCUCCUCUCUGGUCUCUGCAUCCCCUCCCUUCCCUGAAUAACAACUGUUUGAACCUGCUUUUUGGGAAUGUCAUGGAGGCUGAAGCCCACUCCCCCAAAACAAGAAAUUGUGUGGCCAGGAUCCCUAUAGGGCCCUGCUUGGUUUCAGGCUCAACUUUGCACAAGGGAAAUGAAGAGAACAGAACACUGGCCUUGGGGACAGAGGGAGAAUUUGGGCUAUGGUGCAGUCACAGCAAAAGUCCAGCCCACCUAUGGAAGAGCUUUAGGGAAAGGAGGCCAGGCCUACUAUAUAUCCUCAAGGUCACCCCAUCAAGGGUUGUAGGCUGUUCCAGGGAGAGGGUGCUCAGAAAGGGGGUGAAGGAAUGGAAACCGAUUCUCUCCCUGAGAUACGCCCUAGCUGCUCCCUCAGGGGGCUGACUUCUGAGGGUUUUCUGGCAGCUGAGAGAAUAGAUCUUUCCUUCCUGAGAGGGAUCUGGGCAGAGCAUUACGGUACCCACCCCACUUAUAUGUCUUGUAAUAAUGUUACUGGGCUUUAUUUAGCUGACAGGCAGAUCAAUGAUCAAAAUCAUUGUUAAAUGACAUUAAUUGUAAUCUUUGGUGAGACCAGCAGCAUAUCAGUUCCCAUGUGCAGUAUUUCAACUGUGUAAACGUAUUCAUAGAAAAGACACCUGAAAAAUCAUAAGACAAAAGGAUGAGUGUUAUCUUUGGGUGCUUUUUAUCUUGUUCUUUAUUCUCUUCUGACAUCUCCUUCUUUAAUCAUGAAUGCUUAACUACCUUAUGUAAAAAUCCCUCAUGGCAGUGGCUUCUUCUCACUUUUGUAGUUCACCCUGUGGGCCAAGGUCUCUGGCAGUCCUCCACUUCCUCAUCCCUCAUCUACGUGGGUUUGAUUUGUUGAUUUAUUCCCCUCUUGUUUGCUUUUGGUCCUAUACUUGACGUGUAGUCUUGACCCCUAUUUCUUGGGCCAGCUUUGCUCUUUGGGAAACAGUUGUAUUAUGUGCUGUAGCCUGGCCACACUGGAUUAGGCCCUUUUUGUAAAUUCCAACUAAGCAGUUCUAAUAAGCUAUCGACAUUUUCCAUCACUUCUUGUCCAACAGUGGAAUAAGCCUGUAAUGAUGGUUAUGUCUGCAGGAUGUGCUAUAAUGUCCAUAGAACAAUUUCUUUUAAAGAUACUUCAGUGUAAAACAGUAUAAAUACAGUGUAAAGUGUUGUCCAUGAGGAUGCAAGUUCAAGACUUGGUCUUGCUCAGUGAGUUAAGGAUCCAGCAUUGCCGUCAGCUCUAGCAGCAUAGGUUGCAGAUAUGGCUUGGAUCCAGCACUGCCGUGGCUGUGGCUUAGGCUGCAACUGCAGCUCUGAUUUGACCCCUAGCAUGGGAAUUUCCAUAUGC
rnacentral:lncRNA from 1 species